rnacentral:rRNA from 1 species
GGAAGUAAAAGUCGUAACAAGGUUUCCGUAGGUGAACCUGCGGAAGGAUCAUUACUGAUUUAGCGAACCGAGCAUUAGCGAGGUUUUGCGAUCAAUUUAUAUUUAAAACCCACUCUUUAAUGUAUAAAAUUUGUAUUAAUGAUAAAUUAAAGAUCACUUUCAACAACGGAUCUCUUGGCUCUCGCAUCGAUGAAGAACGUAGCGAAGUGCGAUAAGUAAUGUGAAUUGCAGAAUUCCGUGAAUCAUCGAAUCUUUGAACGCAUAUUGCACUUUCUGGUAUUCCGGAAAGUAUGCCUGUUUGAGGGUCAGUUAAAUAAAAAUCGGUGUUGUUGCCGCUUUUCGUGGUGACGCGUCGGAAUUGAGUCGUCUUCGGUUAAGUGACUUAAAAUUUUAUAUGAUUUUCGAACGUAUUUAAAUUUAUUUGAACGUUUGAUAUCGAAUGCUUAUUAGGUUCGGUCAUCCUCAUGACUCGCGCCUAUAAUUUUUCAUUAAAUGACCUCAAAUCAGGUAAGAAUACCCGCUGAACUUAAGCAUAUCAAUAAGCGGAGGA